rnacentral:rRNA from 1 species
AACGAACGCUGGCGGCAUGCCUAACACAUGCAAGUCGAACGAGACCUUCGGGUCUAGUGGCGCACGGGUGCGUAACGCGUGGGAACCUGCCCUUAGGUUCGGAAUAACUCCCCGAAAGGGGUGCUAAUACCGGAUAAUGUCUUCGGACCAAAGAUUUAUCGCCCUUGGAUGGGCCCGCGUUGGAUUAGCUAGUUGGUAGGGUAAAAGCCUACCAAGGCGACGAUCCAUAGCUGGUCUGAGAGGAUGAUCAGCCACAAUGGGACUGAGACACGGCCCAGACUCCUACGGGAGGCAGCAGUAGGGAAUAUUGGACAAUGGGCGAAAGCCUGAUCCAGCAAUGCCGCGUGAGUGAUGAAGGCCUUAGGAUUGUAAAGCUCUUUUACCCGGGAUGAUAAUGACAGUACCGGGAGAAUAAGCUCCGGCUAACUCCGUG